GUCCCUGACAAGCUCUCCCUGGAGAACCAACGGCAUGACGUUACUUUACAAACCUUCAAAAAUGAUAAGCAAGGUGAAAAUGAGGAGGACUAUGAUGAUGAUGAAUGGCAUUGGAAUGAAUCAGGAGGAGGAGACUUCACAAAGCGCUACACUGCAAUGAGGGCUGGGAAUAAUCCACAGAUAAACUGAGCUAUGCUGAUUCUGUGAUCAAUAAAGUCACUGUGAUGCGGAAGCAGACACGUUUCGAGUAAAGGACCAAUCAGACGAGCUACUGUUGAACAGGUUUUGGACCCCCGUACACGUAUGAUUCUGAUUAAAAUGCUCAGCAGAGGCAUCUUUUCAGAGAUCAACGGCUGUAUCAGCACAGGCAAAG